CGCCGCGCAGCCGGAGCCUGGAAGCGCGCGCCCUACCUCGGUAAGCAACGGUUUGUGGGUUCGUUCGUACUCCUCCUGCUCCGCCUGCAGCUUUUUGAAUCGCGCCUCCACGCCGGGGAGGGCGUCGAAGCGGAGCUCGGCUACGAGGUCGAGAUCGCCGACUCUCUGGGCCCGGUCGAUCUUCGCCUUCAGUUCGUCUUGCUUCUGAGCCAGCUUCCCGAGCUCGUCGAUUCGGCCUUUCUCUUGCUGGUACUGUAGAUACAGCGGACGCAACGCGUCGGCGAUCUCGCCCAGGUGCUGCCGGACCUCCGCCAGGCGCUUCUGAGAGGCAGGAUCCUUCUCCUUCUCCAGCGCAAGAACCUCCACUUCUGCAGAAAAAGAUCGCUCGCCCCGCACGCAACGCGAAACGCAUGCACACAGGCUAUACGAACAGCGGGGCGUUCGAAGGCUUACAUAGAGAGAGAUAGAAAGGGAGGGAGACGUAAAUGUGUACAUCCAAGGGCGCCGGCAUGCUUGUGGGCUUGGAAUCGGCGUGCGUCAACAGAUCGCGAGGGCUUUUCUCGCGGUGGCGAGAGGCAGCUGACAGCCAGGCGGUCACCCUCUCCUCCAAAGCAAAAAGUCGGACCCCGCAACUACAGAGGGAGAGAAAGUGACGCGCAGAUUCGCUUCAGAUCGACGCAUUCGUCAGACAUACACAGCUACGUACACGGAAAUAAUUGGUGCGUAAGUACAUAUUUGCAUGAGCGCAUGAGGAUCCGGGUAAACACAAC
rnacentral:lncRNA from 1 species